rnacentral:rRNA from 1 species
ACGGAGGGUGCGAGCGUUAUCCGGAAUUACUGGGUUUAAAGGGUGCGUAGGCGGAUCUUUAAGUCUAAGGUGAAAGUCUGUGGCUUAACCAUAGAAUUGCCUUGGAUACUGAGGAUCUUGAAUUGGGUUGAGGAUAGCGGAAUGUGACAUGUAGCGGUGAAAUGCAUAGAUAUGUCAUAGAACACCAAUUGCGAAGGCAGCUAUCUGGGCCUUGAUUGACGCUGAGGCACGAAAGCGUGGGGAGCGAACAGG